rnacentral:rRNA from 1 species
ACAACUUUCAGCAACGGAUCUCUUGGCUCUCGCAUCGAUGAAGAACGCAGCGAAUUGCGAUAAGUAAUGUGAAUUGCAGAUUUCCAGUGAAUCAUCGAAUCUUUGAACGCACCUUGCGCUCCUUGGUAUUCCGAGGAGCAUGCCUGUUU